rnacentral:rRNA from 1 species
UCCGUAGGCGGAUUGAUAAGUCAGAGGUGAAAUCCCACAGCUUAACUGUGGAACUGCCUUUGAAACUGUUAGUCUUGAGUUAUAUGGAAGUAGAUAGAAUGUGUAGUGUAGCGGUGAAAUGCAUAGAGAUUACACAGAAUACCGAUUGCGAAGGCAGUCUACUACGUAUAUACUGACGCCAAUGGACGAAAGCGUGGGGAGGGAACAGGAUUAGAUACCCUGGUAGUCC